AUUGAACGCUGGCGGCAUGCCUUACACAUGCAAGUCGAACGGCAGCACGGGAGCAAUCCUGGUGGCGAGUGGCGAACGGGUGAGUAAUGUAUCGGAACGUGCCCAGUCGUGGGGGAUAACGUAGCGAAAGCUACGCUAAUACCGCAUACGAUCUGUGGAUGAAAGCGGGGGACCGUAAGGCCUCGCGCGAUCGGAGCGGCCGAUAUCAGAUUAGGUAGUUGGUGGGGUAAAGGCCUACCAAGCCGACGAUCUGUAGCUGGUCUGAGAGGACGACCAGCCACACUGGGACUGAGACACGGCCCAGACUCCUACGGGAGGCAGCAGUGGGGAAUUUUGGACAAUGGGCGCAAGCCUGAUCCAGCAAUGCCGCGUGCAGGAAGAAGGCCUUCGGGUUGUAAACUGCUUUUGUCAGGGAAGAAACACCUUUGGCUAAUACCUUAAGGGAAUGACUGUACCUGAAGAAUAAGCACCGGCUAACUACGUGCCAGCCGCCGCAGUAACAC
rnacentral:rRNA from 1 species